rnacentral:rRNA from 1 species
AGGUAAGCUACUAAGAGCGAAUGGUGGAUGCCUUGACUGGUAAAGGCGAUGAAGGACGUACUAGACUGCGAUAAGCUACGGGGAGCUGUCAAGAAGCUUUGAUCCGUAGAUUUCCGAAUGGGGCAACCCAAUGUAUAGAGAUAUACAUUACCUAUAUAGGAGCGAACGAGGGGAAUUGAAACAUCUUAGUACCCUCAGGAAAAGAAAUCAAUAGAGAUUGCGUCAGUAGCGGCGAGCGAAAGCGCAAGAGGGCAAACCCAGUGCUUGCACUGGGGGUUGUAGGACUGCAAUGUGCAAGAGGUGAGUUUAGCAGAACAUUCUGGAAAGUAUAGCCAUAGAGGGUGAUAGUCCCGUAUGCGAAAAACAAACCUUAGCUAGCAGUAUCCUGAGUAGGGCGGGACACGAGAAAUCCUGUCUGAAGCUGGGUCGACCACGAUCCAACCCUAAAUACUAAUACCAGAUCGAUAGUGCACAAGUACCGUGAGGGAAAGGUGAAAAGAACUGAGGUGAUCAGAGUGAAAUAGAACCUGAAACCAUUUGCUUACAAUCAUUCAGAGCACUAUGUAGCAAUACAGUGUGAUGGACUGCCUUUUGCAUAAUGAGCCUGCGAGUUGUGGUGUCUGGCAAGGUUAAGCAAACGCGAAGCCGUAGCGAAAGCGAGUCUGAAUAGGGCGCUUAGUCAGAUGCUGCAGACCCGAAACGAAGUGAUCUAUCCAUGAGCAAGUUGAAGCUAGUGUAAGAACUAGUGGAGGACUGAACCCAUAGGCGUUGAAAAGCCCCGGGAUGACUUGUGGAUAGGGGUGAAAGGCCAAUCAAACUUCGUGAUAGCUGGUUCUCUCCGAAAUAUAUUUAGGUAUAGCGUUGUGUCGUAAUAUAAGGGGGUAGAGCACUGAAUGGGCUAGGGCAUACACCAAUGUACCAAACCCUAUCAAACUCCGAAUACCUUAUAUGUAAUCACAGCAGUCAGGCGGCGAGUGAUAAAAUCCGUCGUCAAGAGGGAAACAACCCAGACUACCAGCUAAGGUCCCUAAAUCUUACUUAAGUGGAAAACGAUGUGAAGUUACUUAAACAACCAGGAGGUUGGCUUAGAAGCAGCCAUCCUUUAAAGAAAGCGUAAUAGCUCACUGGUCUAGUGAUUUUGCGCGGAAAAUAUAACGGGGCUAAAGUAAGUACCGAAGCUGUAGACUUGACUUUGUCAAGUGGUAGGAGAGCGUUCUAUUUGCGUCGAAGGUAUACCGGUAAGGAGUGCUGGAGCGAAUAGAAGUGAGCAUGCAGGCAUGAGUAGCGAUAAUUAAUGUGAGAAUCAUUAACGCCGUAAACCCAAGGUUUCCUACGCGAUGCUCGUCAUCGUAGGGUUAGUCGGGUCCUAAGUCGAGUCCGAAAGGGGUAGACGAUGGCAAAUUGGUUAAUAUUCCAAUACCAACAUUAGUGUGCGAUGGAAGGACGCUUAGGGCUAAGGGGGCUAGCGGAUGGAAGUGCUAGUCUAAGGUCGUAGGUGCUUAUACAGGCAAAUCCGUAUAAGAAUACACCGAGAACUGAAAGGCUUUUUGAAGUCUUCGGAUGGAUAGAAGAACCCCUGAUGCCGUCGAGCCAAGAAAAGUUUCUAAGUUUAGCUAAUGUUGCCCGUACCGUAAACCGACACAGGUGGGUGGGAUGAGUAUUCUAAGGCGCGUGGAAGAACUCUCUUUAAGGAACUCUGCAAAAUAGCACCGUAUCUUCGGUAUAAGGUGUGGUUCGCUUCGUAUUAGGAUUUACUCCGAAAGCGAAGAAACUUACAACAAAGAGUCCCUCCCGACUGUUUACCAAAAACACAGCACUCUGCUAACUCGUAAGAGGAUGUAUAGGGUGUGACGCCUGCCCGGUGCUCGAAGGUUAAUUGAUGGGGUUAGCAUUAGCGAAGCUCUUGAUCGAAGCCCGAGUAAACGGCGGCCGUAACUAUAACGGUCCUAAGGUAGCGAAAUUCCUUGUCGGUUAAAUACCGACCUGCAUGAAUGGCGUAACGAGAUGGGAGCUGUCUCAAAGAGGGAUCCAGUGAAAUUGUAGUGGAGGUGAAAAUUCCUCCUACCCGCGGCAAGACGGAAAGACCCCGUGGACCUUUACUACAGCUUGACACUGCUAUUUGGAUAAGAAUGUGCAGGAUAGGUGGGAGGCUUUGAGUAUAUGACGCUAGUUGUAUAUGAGCCAUUGUUGAGAUACCACUCUUUCUUAUUUGGGUAGCUAACCAGCUUGAGUUAUCCUCAAGUGGGACAAUGUCUGGUGGGUAGUUUGACUGGGGCGGUCGCCUCCCAAAUAAUAACGGAGGCUUACAAAGGUUGGCUCAGAACGGUUGGAAAUCGUUCGUAGAGUAUAAAGGUAUAAGCCAGCUUAACUGCAAGACAUACAAGUCAAGCAGAGACGAAAGUCGGUCUUAGUGAUCCGGUGGUUCUGUGUGGAAGGGCCAUCGCUCAAAGGAUAAAAGGUACCCCGGGGAUAACAGGCUGAUCUCCCCCAAGAGCUCACAUCGACGGGGAGGUUUGGCACCUCGAUGUCGGCUCAUCGCAUCCUGGGGCUGGAGCAGGUCCCAAGGGUAUGGCUGUUCGCCAUUUAAAGCGGUACGCGAGCUGGGUUCAGAACGUCGUGAGACAGUUCGGUCCCUAUCUGCCGUGGGCGUAAGAAGAUUGAAGAGAUUUGACCCUAGUACGAGAGGACCGGGUUGAACAAACCACUGGUGUAGCUGUUGUUCUGCCAAGAGCAUCGCAGCGUAGCUAAGUUUGGAAAGGAUAAACGCUGAAAGCAUCUAAGCGUGAAGCCAACUCUAAGAUGAAUCUUCUCUAAGCUCUCUAGAAGACUACUAGUUUGAUAGGCUGGGUGUGUAAUGGAUGAAAGUCCUUUAGCUGACCAGUACUAAUAGAGCGUUUGGCUUAUCUUU